GACAAACGCUGGCGGCGUGCCUAAUACAUGCAAGUAGAACGCUGAAGGAGGAGCUUGCUUCUCUGGAUGAGUUGCGAACGGGUGAGUAACGCGUAGGUAACCUGCCUGGUAGCGGGGGAUAACUAUUGGAAACGAUAGCUAAUACCGCAUAAGAGUAGAUGUUGCAUGACAUUUGCUUAAAAGGUGCAAUUGCAUCACUACCAGAUGGACCUGCGUUGUAUUAGCUAGUUGGUGAGGUAACGGCUCACCAAGGCGACGAUACAUAGCCGACCUGAGAGGGUGAUCGGCCACACUGGGACUGAGACACGGCCCAGACUCCUACGGGAGGCAGCAGUAGGGAAUCUUCGGCAAUGGACGGAAGUCUGACCGAGCAAACGCCCGCGUGAGUGAGGAAAGGUUUUUCGGAUUCGUAAAAGCUUCUGUUGUAA
rnacentral:rRNA from 1 species